GAUGAACGCUAGCUACAGGCUUAACACAUGCAAGUCGAGGGGCAGCACAGUGAAGCAAUACAUGGGUGGAGACCGGCGCACGGGUGCGUAACGCGUAUCCAACCUUCCCGUUACUCAGGGAUAGCCUUCCGAAAGGGAGAUUAAUACCUGAUGGUGUUGAAAUUCCGCAUGUUAUAUCAACGAAAGAUUUAUCGGUAACGGAUGGGGAUGCGUGACACUAGGUAGAUGGCGGGGUAACGGCCCACCAUGCCUACGAUGUCUAGGGGUGCUGAGAGGAAGGUCCCCCACACUGGAACUGAGACACGGUCCAGACUCCUACGGGAGGCAGCAGUGAGGAAUAUUGGUCAAUGGUCGGAAGACUGAACCAGCCAAGUAGCGUGAAGGAUGAAGGUUCUAUGGAUUGUAAACUUCUUUUACACGGGAAUAAAACCUCCCACGUGUGGGAGCUUGUAUGUACCGUAUGAAUAAGCAUCGGCUAACUCCGUGCCAGCCGCCGCGGUAAUAC
rnacentral:rRNA from 1 species